rnacentral:miRNA from 1 species
UAAGCCAUUUCUCCAACCCCAAGAAACAGUUUUGGAAAGUGUAUUUGUGAGGCUGUAGAGAUGGCUCAGCAG